CCUACGGGGGGCUGCAGCAACGAAUCUUCCCCAAUGCCGGAAACGGUGAGGGAGCGACGCCGCGUGUGGACGAAGUUCUUCGGAAUGUAAACCACUGUUAGGGUUCGAAGUAUUGCCAGAAAGGGACGGCUAACUCUGUGCCAGCAGCCGCGGUAAUACAGAGGUCCCAAGCGUUACUGAGAAUCACUGGGUUUAAAGGGUGCGUAGGUGGCGCGUUAAGUCAGUUGUGAAAUCCCCGGGCUCAACCCGGGAACUGCUUCUGAUACUGGCGUGCUUGAGGCUAGUAGGGGUCACUGGAACUGACGGUGGAGCGGUGAAAUGCGUAGAUAUCGUCAGGAACGCCGAUGGUGAAGACAGGUGACUGGCUGUUCUGACACUGAGGCACGAAAGCGUGGGGAGCGAACGGGAUUAGAUACCCUUGUAGUC
rnacentral:rRNA from 1 species